GGAGAUUUGGCUCAGUGGUUUAAUCCAGUGAUUCAAACUCAGUGGCUCUGUGUUCAAUCCCCAGUAUCUCUU
rnacentral:tRNA from 1 species